rnacentral:rRNA from 1 species
AUUGAACGCUGGCGGCAUGCCUUACACAUGCAAGUCGAACGGCAGCACGGGUGCUUGCACCUGGUGGCGAGUGGCGAACGGGUGAGUAAUAAAUCGGAACAUGUCCUGUAGUGGGGGAUAGCCCGGCGAAAGCCGGAUUAAUACCGCAUACGAUCUACGGAUGAAAGCGGGGGACCUUCGGGCCUCGCGCUAUAGGGUUGGCCGAUGGCUGAUUAGCUAGUUGGUGGGGUAAAGGCCUACCAAGGCGACGAUCAGUAGCUGGUCUGAGAGGACGACCAGCCACACUGGGACUGAGACACGGCCCAGACUCCUACGGGAGGCAGCAGUGGGGAAUUUUGGACAAUGGGCGAAAGCCUGAUCCAGCAAUGCCGCGUGUGUGAAGAAGGCCUUCGGGUUGUAAAGCACUUUUGUCCGGAAAGAAAUCCUUGGCUCUAAUACAGUCGGGGGAUGACGGUACCGGAAGAAUAAGCACCGGCUAACUACGCG